UACGGGGGGGGCAAGCGUUGUUCGGAAUUACUGGGCGUAAAGGGCUCGUAGGCGGCCAACUAAGUCAGACGUGAAAUCCCUCGGCUUAACCGGGGAACUGCGUCUGAUACUGGAUGGCUUGAGUUUGGGAGAGGGAUGCGGAAUUCCUGGUGUAGCGGUGAAAUGCGCAGAUAUCAGGAGGAACACCGGUGGCGAAGGCGGUGGUCUGGGCCGGCACUGACGCUGAGGAGCGAAAGCGUGGGUAGCAAACAGG
rnacentral:rRNA from 1 species